CCCUCUGUAACUCAGUCUAGUAGAGUGCUCGGCUGUAGACCGAGAUGUCGCUGGUGCGAAUCCGGCCAGAGGGA
rnacentral:tRNA from 1 species